UGAAAGCCCAGCUGCCUGCUAACACU
rnacentral:piRNA from 1 species